rnacentral:rRNA from 1 species
UUAAGUUAGAAAGGGCGCACGGUGGAUGCCUUGACACUAGGAGUCGAUGAAGGACGGGACUAACGCCGAUAUGCUUCGGGGAGCUGUAAGUAAGCUUUGAUCCGAAGAUUUCCGAAUGGGGAAACCCACCAUACGUAAUGGUAUGGUAUCCUUAUCUGAAUACAUAGGGUAAGGAAGACAGACCCAGGGAACUGAAACAUCUAAGUACCUGGAGGAAGAGAAAGCAAAUGCGAUUUCCUGAGUAGCGGCGAGCGAAACGGAACAUAGCCCAAACCAAGAGGCUUGCCUCUUGGGGUUGUAGGACAUUCUAUACGGAGUUACAAAGGAACGAGGUAGACGAAGCGACCUGGAAAGGUCCGUCGUAGAGGGUAACAACCCCGUAGUCGAAACUUCGUUCUCUCUUGAAUGUAUCCUGAGUACGGCGGAACACGUGAAAUUCCGUCGGAAUCUGGGAGGACCAUCUCCCAAGGCUAAAUACUCCCUAGUGAUCGAUAGUGAACCAGUACCGUGAGGGAAAGGUGAAAAGCACCCCGGAAGGGGAGUGAAAGAGAUCCUGAAACCGUGUGCCUACAAAUAGUCAGAGCCCGUUAACGGGUGAUGGCGUGCCUUUUGUAGAAUGAACCGGCGAGUUACGAUCCCGUGCGAGGUUAAGCUGAAGAGGCGGAGCCGCAGCGAAAGCGAGUCUGAAUAGGGCGUUUAGUACGUGGUCGUAGACCCGAAACCAGGUGAUCUACCCAUGUCCAGGGUGAAGUUCAGGUAACACUGAAUGGAGGCCCGAACCCACGCACGUUGAAAAGUGCGGGGAUGAGGUGUGGGUAGCGGAGAAAUUCCAAUCGAACCUGGAGAUAGCUGGUUCUCCCCGAAAUAGCUUUAGGGCUAGCCUUAAGUGUAAGAGUCUUGGAGGUAGAGCACUGAUUGGACUAGGGGUCCUCAUCGGAUUACCGAAUUCAGUCAAACUCCGAAUGCCAAUGACUUAUCCUUAGGAGUCAGACUGCGAGUGAUAAGAUCCGUAGUCAAAAGGGAAACAGCCCAGACCGCCAGCUAAGGUCCCAAAGUGUGUAUUAAGUGGAAAAGGAUGUGGAGUUGCUUAGACAACUAGGAUGUUGGCUUAGAAGCAGCCACCAUUUAAAGAGUGCGUAAUAGCUCACUAGUCGAGUGACUCUGCGCCGAAAAUGUACCGGGGGCUAAAUACACCACCGAAGCUGCGGAUUGAUACCAAUGGUAUCAGUGGUAGGGGAGCGUUCUAAGGACAGUGAAGUCAGACCGUAAGGACUGGUGGAGUGCUUAGAAGUGAGAAUGCCGGUAUGAGUAGCGAAAGACGGGUGAGAAUCCCGUCCACCGAAUGCCUAAGGUUUCCUGAGGAAGGCUCGUCCGCUCAGGGUUAGUCAGGACCUAAGCCGAGGCCGACAGGCGUAGGCGAUGGACAACAGGUUGAUAUUCCUGUACCACCUCUUUAUCGUUUGAGCAAUGGAGGGACGCAGAAGGAUAGAAGAAGCGUGCGAUUGGUUGUGCACGUCCAAGCAGUUAGGCUGAUAAGUAGGCAAAUCCGCUUAUCAUAAAGGCUGAGCUGUGAUGGGGAAGCUCCUUAUGGAGCGAAGUCUUUGAUUCCCCGCUGCCAAGAAAAGCUUCUAGCGAGAUAAAAGGUGCCUGUACCGCAAACCGACACAGGUAGGCGAGGAGAGAAUCCUAAGGUGUGCGAGAGAACUCUGGUUAAGGAACUCGGCAAAAUGACCCCGUAACUUCGGGAGAAGGGGUGCUUUCUUAACGGAAAGCCGCAGUGAAUAGGCCCAAGCGACUGUUUAGCAAAAACACAGCUCUCUGCGAAGCCGUAAGGCGAAGUAUAGGGGGUGACACCUGCCCGGUGCUGGAAGGUUAAGGAGAGGGGUUAGCGUAAGCGAAGCUCUGAACUGAAGCCCCAGUAAACGGCGGCCGUAACUAUAACGGUCCUAAGGUAGCGAAAUUCCUUGUCGGGUAAGUUCCGACCCGCACGAAAGGUGUAACGAUUUGGGCACUGUCUCAACCAGAGACUCGGUGAAAUUAUAGUACCUGUGAAGAUGCAGGUUACCCGCGACAGGACGGAAAGACCCCGUGGAGCUUUACUGUAGCCUGAUAUUGAAUUUUGGUACAGUUUGUACAGGAUAGGCGGGAGCCAUUGAAACCGGAGCGCUAGCUUCGGUGGAGGCGCUGGUGGGAUACCGCCCUGACUGUAUUGAAAUUCUAACCUACGGGUCUUAUCGACCCGGGAGACAGUG